CACACUCACUUUGCCGGCCGAGGACCGUGAGCGGUAUUUAAAUAAGCUACUGGAUACAGGGUUACAGAGGUGUCCUUUUGAAAUGGUCGAAACCUGGAUUAAUGACCCCACGCAGUGGCCAAAUAUGGACUAUUCAGACAUCUACCACUAUCUCGUGGAAUCACCAAGCCUGUAUACAUCGGAAACAAUGAAAAACAAAAGGUCCCUGGAGGCCCAUAAGUUUUUCGUCAGUGGUUGGGUCCAGACUGUUUUACACAUAAAAACAGACAAGUGCUUUGUUUUUAAAAGCAGUGUUAAACCUUCUUGGAGGGUGACUAACAAGCCCCACAACACCUGGGUAGCUGUGGAAAAUAGUGGCAAAGUUAGAGCAGCUCACUGCGACUGCAUGGCAGGACUAGGUGAAAGCUGGUCCCAUGUGGGUGCAGUUCUGUAUAAAUUGGAAGCCUCGAUCAGUCCGCCUGGGCAUCACCACCACUGUUCAACUGCAAAUGUUUGUGUGUGCAGCACAGUAUGCAGAUUUUGUUACUUGGACCCCACAGCAGACCACCAUCUUUAGAAUCUUAAAAGAUGAAGAAUUCAUUCACGGAACGGUGGACGUCAUCAGCAGAUUUUGGGCAAAACACAUCCACCCGCGAUUGAUGACAACAGUGCUACAAAGUGAGACUGAACCAGACAGCGAGGGAGUGGACCGUCAAGGAUGUGAAAGCGACCUUUCAGCACACCAAUCACCCGCUCUGUAAGGACGACAACAACAAAAAGGGAGUG